rnacentral:lncRNA from 1 species
CAAAUUAUAGUACCUCCGCCUUUCUUUUGAUGCAACACCUGUCUUUCUAAAACUCAAGAAUAUCCACCAAUAUUUUUCCAUAAAAGCUCCUAACUGAUACUCUCCAAUUCUUAGAAAUCUGAAACCAACAUAAAAUCAGAAAAAUAGUAGAAAAGUGAGAUAUAAAAUACUUGGGAAAGUGAAAAGAGAGAACUCGCAAACGACGAUGCCAUCAGCAUUGUCAGAAUCAUCAGUUCUAGAACAGAGACGAUGAAUUUGGAUUCUUGUAUGUAAUUUUGGAAUUUUGAAUUCUUGAAACCAACGCAAAAAUCAUAGAAUUUUCUUUUGAAAUCGAAGGUUAGAUGAUUUUGGAUCUUUUGUAUAUAAUUUUGGAAAUUUUAAUGGUUUAUUCUUGAAUAAAGAAGACGGAGUGGGGUAAGGCUGUAUCCGGUUCCAGUUUUGGGUCUAUUUGGGUCUGCGGGUUCCGGUUCUUGCGGUUCCGGUUCUGGCGGUUUUGGCGAUUCUGGCGGUUCUGGUUCUGGCGGUUCUGAAGGUGGAACUGGCCCGUGACGGUUCCAGGUACCAUGCGGUUCCGGUUCUGGCGGUUCCG